rnacentral:rRNA from 1 species
CCUACGGGAGGCAGCAGUAAGGAAUAUUGGUCAAUGGACGCAAGUCUGAACCAGCCAUGCCGCGUGAAGGAUGAAGGUCCUCUGGAUUGUAAACUUCUUUUAUUUGGGAAGAAAUGCAUUUUUUCUAAAGUGCUUGACGGUACCAGAUGAAUAAGCACCGGCUAACUCCGUGCCAGCAGCCGCGGUAAU